AAGUCGUAGCAAGGUUUCCGUAGGCGAACCUGCGGAAAGAUCACUCAUAAUAAGUUUUACCAAACAUCAACUUAUUUUCUAACUCUUUGUCUGAAAAAUAUUAUGAAUAAAAUAAUUCAAAAUACAACUUUCAACAAUGGAUCCCUUGGCUCUC
rnacentral:misc_RNA from 1 species